rnacentral:rRNA from 1 species
GAUGAACGCUGGCGGCGUGCCUAAUACAUGCAAGUCGAGCGAACAGAUGAGGAGCUUGCUCCUCUGACGUUAGCGGCGGACGGGUGAGUAACACGUGGAUAACCUACCUAUAAGACUGGGAUAACUUCGGGAAACCGGAGCUAAUACCGGAUAAUAUAUUGAACCGCAUGGUUCAAUAGUGAAAGACGGUUUUGCUGUCACUUAUAGAUGGAUCCGCGCCGCAUUAGCUAGUUGGUAAGGUAACGGCUUACCAAGGCAACGAUGCGUAGCCGACCUGAGAGGGUGGUCGGCCACCCUGGAGCUGAGACACGGUCCAGCCUCCUACGGGAGGCAGCAGUAGGGAAUCUUCCGCAAUGGGCGAAAGCCUGACGGAGCAACGCCGCGUGAGUGAUGAAGGUCUUCGGAUCGUAAAGCUCUGUUAUUAGGGAAGAACAAAUGUGUAAGUAACUAUGCACGUCUUGACGGUACCUAAUCAGAAAGCCACGGCUAACUACGUG